AUUGAACGCUGGCGGCAGGCCUAACACAUGUAAGUCGAACGAGUGGCGGACGGGUGAGUAAUGUCUGGGAAACUGCAUUAUGGAGGGGGAUAACUACUGGAAACGGUAGCUAAUACCGCAUACCAUCGGAUGUGCCCAGUGGGGAUUAGGUAGUAGGUGGGGUAACGGCUCACCUAGGCGACGAUCGCUAGCUGGUCUGAGAGGAUGACCAGCCACACUGGAACUGAGACACGGCCCAGACUCCUACGGGAGGCAGCAGUGGGGAAUAUUGCACAAUGGGGGCAAGCCUGAUGCAGCCAUGCCGCGUGAAUGAAGAAGGCCUUCGGGUUGUAAAGUACUUUCAGUGGGGAGGCGUUACCCGCAGAAGAAGCACCGGCUAACUCCGUGCCAGCCGCCGCGGUAAUUC
rnacentral:rRNA from 1 species